rnacentral:rRNA from 1 species
AUUGAACGCUGGCGGCAGGCCUAACACAUGCAAGUCGAACGGUAACAGGAAGAAGCUUGCUUCUUUGCUGACGAGUGGCGGACGGGUGAGUAAUGUCUGGGAAACUGCCUGAUGGAGGGGGAUAACUACUGGAAACGGUAGCUAAUACCGCAUAACGUCGCAAGCCCAAAGAGGGGGACCUUCGGGCCUCUUGCCAUCGGAUUUGCCCAGAUGGGAUUAGCUAGUAGGUGGGGUAACGGCUCACCUAGGCGACGAUCCCUAGCUGGUCUGAGAGGAUGACCAGCCACACUGGAACUGAGACACGGUCCAGACUCCUACGGGAGGCAGCAGUGGGGAAUAUUGCACAAUGGGCGCAAGCCUGAUGCAGCCAUGCCGCGUGUAUGAAGAAGGCCUUCGGGUUGUAAAGUACUUUAAGCGGGGAGGAAGGGAGUAAAGUUAAUACCGUUGCUCAUUGACGCUACCCGCAGAAGAAGCACCGGCUAACUCCGUG